UACGUAGGGUGCAAGCGUUGUCCGGAAUUAUUGGGCGUAAAGAGCUCGUAGGCGGUCUGUUGCGUCGGCUGUGAAAACCCGGGGCUCAACCCCGGGCCUGCAGCCGAUACGGGCAGACUAGAGUUCGGCAGGGGAGACUGGAAUUCCUGGUGUAGCGGUGAAAUGCGCAGAUAUCCGGAGGAACACCGGUGGCGAAGGCGGCUUCCUGGACCGACACUGACGCUGAGGCGCGAAAGCUAGGGGAGCAAACGGG
rnacentral:rRNA from 1 species